GCACCUGUUGAGCAAUGAAUAGCUCUUGUUGGACUUCUAAUCCAAAGGUCGUGGGUUUGAAUCCCUCCUGGGAUG